AUACGUAGGGGGCGAGCGUUGUCCGGAAUGAUUGGGCGUAAAGGGCGCGCAGGCGGCCCGGUAAGUCUGGAGUGAAAGUCCUGUUUUUAAGAUGGGAAUUGCUUUGGAUACUGUCGGGCUUGAGUGCAGGAGAGGUAAGUGGAAUUCCCAGUGUAGCGGUGAAAUGCGUAGAGAUUGGGAGGAACACCAGUGGCGAAGGCGACUUACUGGACUGUAACUGACGCUGAGGCGCGAAAGUGUGGGGAGCAAACAGGAUUAGAUACCCUGGUAGUCCACACGGUAAACGAUGAAUGCUAGGUGUAGGGGGUAUCGACCCCUUCUGUGCCGCAGUCAACACAAUAAGCAUUCCGCCUGGGGAGUACGGCCGCAAGGUUGAAACUCAAAUGAAUUGACGGGG
rnacentral:rRNA from 1 species